rnacentral:lncRNA from 1 species
AAGUUUGUUCAUGAGCUGUCAUGCUCGCUAGGCGAGCCGAAUGGGUCGCCUAACGAGUCCCAAGAAAAGCCACCAGAAUGACUUACGCUCAAAGGAAUUUCUUCAACUGUCAUGCUCGCUAGGCGAAGCCCACGUGUUUAAAAAAAAAUAAUCGAAAAAAAAAACGAAAAACGAAAAACGAAAAUAAAUAAAUAAAUAAAAU